rnacentral:rRNA from 1 species
CUACGGGUGGCAGCAGUGAGGAAUAUUGGUCAAUGGCCGGAAGGCUGAACCAGCCAAGCCGCGUGAAGGACGAAGGUGCCAAGCAUUGUAAACUUCUUUUGUCAAGGGACAAAAUCAGGCUCGAGAGCCUGACCGAGGGUACUUGAAGAAAAAGCAUCGGCUAACUCCGUGCCAGCAGCCGCGGUAAUACGGAGGAUGCGAGCGUUAUCCGGAUUUAUUGGGUUUAAAGGGUGCGUAGGCGGGUUAUCAAGUCAGCGGUAAAAUCGUGGAGCUCAACUCCAUCCAGCCGUUGAAACUGAUGAUCUUGAGUGGGCGAGAAGUAUGCGGAAUGCGUGGUGUAGCGGUGAAAUGCAUAGAUAUCACGCAGAACUCCGAUUGCGAAGGCAGCAUACCGGCGCCCGACUGACGCUGAAGCACGAAAGCGUGGGUAUCGAACAGGAUUAGAUACCCUGGUAGUC